CCUACGGGAGGCAGCAGUAGGGAAUAUUGCACAAUGGGCGAAAGCCUGAUGCAGCAACGCCGCGUGCGCGAUGAAGGUCUUCGGAUCGUAAAGCGCUUUUCUGAGAGAUGAGAAAGGACAGUAUCCCAGGAAUAAGUCUCGGCUAACUACGUGCCAGCAGCCGCGGUAAAACGUAGGAGGCGAGCGUUAUCCGUGCUUCACUGGGCGUAAAGCGCGUGCAGGUGGUUCGGUAAGUUGGGCGUGAAAUCUCCCGGCUCAACUGGGAGAGGUCGUUCAAUACUACCGGACUUGAGAGCAGAAGAGGAAGAUGGAAUUCCCGGUGUAGUGGUGAAAUGCGUAGAUAUCGGGAGGAACACCAGUGGCGAAGGCGAUCUUCUGGUCUGUUUCUGACACUCAGACGCGACAGCUAGGGUAGUAAACGGGAUUAGAGACCCCGGUAAUCCUAGCCGUAAACGAUGUGAACUUGGCGUUGGUGGGUUAAACUCCAUCAGUGCCGAAGCAAACGCGAUAAGUUCACCGCGUGGGGACUACGGCCGCAAGGUUAAACUYAAAGGAAUUGACGG
rnacentral:rRNA from 1 species